rnacentral:lncRNA from 1 species
UACCGUCCUGAAGACUAUAUGUUUGUAUCUGAGGUCCUCCAUAGAAAUGAGAGGAUUCUCAAUGGGGAGAAACAAUUCUGUUAUAAGAAACUGCUCAAAUCAAGACCAAAGAAAAACACAUGGAAAUUUCCUUCAGAGGAAGUUAACAGAUACAGUUCAAAUAACAAGCUCACAAAUCGUUGAGACCCAAGUCACCCCUCAAGUUAAGAAAAGAGCAAAUUGACAAGAUUCAUAAUAACGUCAAAAGGCAAUCAUGUUCUUAUUGAAUAUCUAUGGCAAUCCUCAGAAUGAGGUUUUUAUAACAUUGUUCUAGGUGUUGAUGAGCUUCAGGUCCAAGUGUUAUCUUGAGACUCUGAGCCAUUUGUGUGAUAUGAGGAAACUGUCUCAUGCUAAGGGAACUCAUGAAGACUCGUCAGUGGUUAGAAGGAUCCUCUAAACUGAGAGCAAAGCUUCUUCUUCCCCUGGUCAGUCUCUGCCUGGCUCCCUUCAGAGAUUUAUCCAGAUUUCCUGAUGGGCUGAAGGAGCAAGACUUAAAUUAGAAAUACUCAGAAUAUAGCUAUUACAGUGAUAUGUGCAGGGAAGAGACAGCUAUUGAGAUCCCUAUAGAUGGGGUAGACAUUCCACUGAAGGGCAAGGAAAAGGAGUGCUCCCAGGAAGAGAGGAGAGAGAAGCCCAUCCUCCUCCAGAAGCCAUUAUCCUGUCCCUCGGCAGUUGGUCCUAUUAAACCCACUCUCCUAGUGGCCAUCUUCUUCCUAAUGCUGGGUUUAUGUCCUGCAGGUGCGUGGAUUUGGCUGUCUUAUGUCUAGGUGCCGAGUUUCCCUAAUUAUGAUUCUGAAAUUCCUAGGAGUUUGGACUACUGACCACAUCAUCAAUGCUAAACUCCAGAUGUAAGCUAUUCUGAAAGCAUUUCUGUGGAAUUUGAAAUGAAAAUGUAGCUGCUUAGUCUUUAAUAGAAGACAAACAAAAUGCAGGAGCCUGUGGGUCGAUUCUGAACAAGGAACCACACCAUCCAUCUGUCAGUUAUCAUACUGUGGUAGCUGCAUGUUGCUGUGAUGCUGAAAGCUAUACCACCGGUAUUUCAAAUACCAGCAGGGUCACCCAUGGUGGAAAAGAUUCAGCAGAGCUUCCAGGCUAAGACUAGAAUGAAAGACCUGGCCACCCGCUUGUGAAAAAAUUCACCAUGGAAACUCUGUGAAUAGCAGCGGAGCAUUGUCUGAUAUAACGUUGGAAGGUGAGAGGAUGGUGCAAAAAGACUGGGCAUGCUUCUGCUUUGCUGUACACAGGGUCACUAGGAGUCAGAAUCGACUGCAAUGGCACUAACAACAAAAAAGUAGAGCAUCCAAGAUCAUCCAAGUCUUCUCCCUGUGUGCCACACUGCUGUUCU